rnacentral:lncRNA from 1 species
GCAAAAGGAGGGUCUGUUUUUGUUUGAUGGGCUGCACCGAAAAGCCAUUGAGUAAGAAGAGUAGACUAGGUCAGUAGGAGAUGUUGGGACGUGUUGGUAGCUGAUUAUUAGGUAGGUUCUUUUCUUUUAUUUCCUUUAGAAUGAAAAAGAAAGUAUGGUGAUUAGGUAGAAGAUAGUUGUUUCACGGCCUGAUGAUGGAUUCACAUUGGGAAGCACACGGUGAUGGAAUGCUUUUGGAGUUUUAAUCUAUUGAAGGAAAAUGAGUUGGCACGUCACGAGGGAGAAGCACCAAAAAGGGUUUUCUUUUAUUGUAUGCAUACUU